rnacentral:tRNA from 1 species
GAGGGUAUAGCUCAUGUGGUAGAGCGCAUGCUUAGCAUGCAGGAGGUCCUGGGUUCAAUCCCCAGAACCUCCU